UACAGAGGUCUCAAGCGUUGUUCGGAUUCAUUGGGCGUAAAGGGUGCGUAGGCGGCGGGGCAAGUCUGAUGUGAAAUCCCGGGGCUCAACCUCGGAACUGCAUUGGAUACUGCCUUGCUUGAGUACUGGAGAGGAGACCGGAAUUUACGGUGUAGCAGUGAAAUGCGUAGAUAUCGUAAGGAAGACCAGUGGCGAAGGCGAGUCUCUGGACAGUUACUGACGCUGAGGCACGAAGGCCAGGGGAGCAAACGGG
rnacentral:rRNA from 1 species